rnacentral:rRNA from 1 species
AGAGUUUGAUCCUGGCUCAGAACGUACGCUGGCGGCACGCCUAACACAUGCAAGUCGAACGAAGUAGCAAUACUUAGUGGCAGACGGGUGAGUAACAUGUAGGUAUCUUCCCUUUGGCCUGGAAUAACACGAGGAAACUUGUGCUAAUACCGGAUAAGUCUUCACAGAGAAAGCUUUAUGCACCAUUGAAUGAGCCUGCACUUGAUUAGUUUGUUGGUAGGGUAAUGGCCUACCAAGACUGUGAUCAAUAGCUGAUUUGAGAGGAUGAUCAGCCACAUUGGGACUGAGACACGGCCCAAACUCCUACGGGAGGCAGCAGUGGGGAAUCUUGCACAAUGGAGGAAACUCUGAUGCAGCGAUGCCGCGUGAGUGAAGAAGGCCUUUGGGUUGUAAAGCUCUUUCGUCGGGGAAGAAAAUGACUGUACCCGAAUAAGAAGGUCCGGCUAACUUCGUGCCAGCCGCCGCGGUAAUAC